rnacentral:lncRNA from 1 species
UAUUGUUGGCUGGGUUUAUUUAGUUUGCAGCAUGUUAUGGUUUAAGAAAAAGAUAUAUGAAAACUUUACUGUAUAUCAGUGUUUCCCAACCGGUGUUCCGCGGCACACUAGUGUGCCGCGAGAUGUUUCCUGGUGUGCCGCUCCGGCGGCUCCUCUGCGGCGGCGGCUACAGCGGCAAUCUCGGGCGGCUCCUGAGGCGGCGAAGGCGGCCCAGCGGCCGGAGGCGAAGACGGUUGCGGCUGCUCCCGACGCUCACCAGCGGCCUCCUCUUCCUCGCCGCUGCUGCUUCGCGGCUUCUCCUCCUCCGCCUCCUCCUUCUCCUCGCCGCCGCCUUUUUCGGGCUCCGGCUCCUUCUUCCCCUCAGGCUCCUCCGCGGAAGGCCCGUCCGGCAGCUCGGCCUCCGAGUCGCCGCUGCUGCUGCCGCCGCCGCCUCUUUCUCCUCCGCUACCGCCGCCGGGCUCUCCUCCUCCUCCUCCGGGCCCCUCGUCCUGGGCGGGCAGAGCGGCGGGGGUCUCGGCGGCCGCCGGGCUCUCCUGGGUCUCCUGCAUGGGGGGCUACGCGGCCUUCCCGCUCGCCUCACACGCGCGGCGCACGAACAGGCAAAGCGGCGCGCUGGGCCGAAAAGGGGGAGGGAGGGGGCACAGAGCGCGCAGGCGCAUGCGCAGGGGAGGCGCCCUCUCGCCGGGCCAUGUGCGCGAGAGCGGACCCGGCGGCGAGUCUCGCGAGAGGGGCAGGGACCAACUCGGCAGACGAGAGGGGGAAGGAACGGAUUCCAAAACCGGUGUCUUGCCGCGUUGUAUAUGUUUAUUUCCUAUGUUAAUGGGCUAGGACAGGGUUUGCGAUCGGUUAACGCCCAGUUAUGCUUUCCCCUUAGGAAUUAGGCGUUUCGGUCUUGAGGUACGCUCGCUUCACACCCCACACCCCUCGAGGCCCCGCAUUAAGCCCGCCCUUAGGUGGGGUAGGAUGGACCGUCCCAGAGGGAGGGCGGAGGUGAAAGUAGUGUCGUGAAUAGCGGUAUCGUCAUCGCGUCCUUUUACUUACGUUAUUAUUGUCGAAAUAUAUAUGUACCGCCCCCUAUUUUAAAUUCUAGCCUAUAUUAAUCGUAAGCUGUCACUGUGGAGGAGAUAGUAGCAAAGGGGAAUCAAGCACCCCUUCAAAAAUGACCGAAAUGGGUCGAACUGGCGAGUCGUCAUCCUGCC